rnacentral:rRNA from 1 species
ACGAACGCUGGCGGCGUGCUUAACACAUGCAAGUCGAACGGAAAGGCCCUGCUUUUGUGUGGUGCUCGAGUGGCGAACGGGUGAGUAACACGUGAGUAACCUGCCCUUUACUUUGGGAUAACUUCAGGAAACUGGGGCUAAUACCGGAUAGGAGCUCCUGCUGCAUGGUGGGGGUUGGAAGGUUUCGGCGGUUGGGGAUGGACUCGCGGCUUAUCAGCUUGUUGGUGGGGUAGUGGCUUACCAAGGCUUUGACGGGUAGCCGGCCUGAGAGGGUGACCGGCCACAUUGGGACUGAGAUACGGCCCAGACUCCUACGGGAGGCAGCAGUGGAGAAUAUUGCACAAUGGGCGGAAGCCUGAUGCAGCAACGCCGCGUGCGGGAUGACGGCCUUCGGGUUGUAAACCGCUUUCGCCUGUGACGAAGCGUGAGUGACGGUAAUGAGUAAAGAAGCACCGGCUAACUACGUG